CCAAUAGCGUAUAUUAAAGUUGUUGCAGUUAAAAAGCUCGUAGUUGAAUUUCGGGAUUAGUACGUUGGUCGUGCCUUGGUACGUACUGGUGUAACUGAUUCCUCCCUUCUGACGAACCGUUAUGCCAUUAAUUUGGUGUGGCGGGAAAUCAGGACUGUUACUUUGAAAAAAUUAGAGUGUUUAAAGCAGGCUCGCGCUUGAAUACAUUAGCAUGGAAAAAUGAAAUAGGACGUUAAUCCUAUUUUGUUGGUUUCUAGGAUCGACGUAAUGAUUAAUAGGGAUAGUUGGGGGCAUUAGUAUUCAAUUGUCAGAGGUGAAAUUCUUGGAUUUAUUGAAGACUAACUACUGCGAAAGCAUUUGCCAAGGAUGUUUUCAUUAAUCAAGAACGAAAGUUAGGGGAUCGAAGACGAUCAGAUACCGUCGUAGUCUUAACCAUAAACUAUGCCGACUAGGGAUCGGAUGAUGUUAAUUUUUUAAUGACUCAUUCGGCGCCUUACG
rnacentral:misc_RNA from 1 species